UUUGGAUGGAGAGGAAAAGGUAGAUUUUAACACUGUUGUGAAGGAAUAGAGAAGACCCGCCGCCACCACCAUUGCCUCUGAUGCUAUAGCUGAACCAUACCUGCCACCACGAACAGGGAGGAGGAGUCUUUUCCAUAAAUCCCAUGGCAGGCCUGUCUCUUCUGUCUGCUCCAUCUUCAGGUUAAUCAACGCUUAUGUAAUUGAAAAUCACCUGGAAAAAAACAACAAAAAAUCUGGCAAGAGGUGAGAAUGAAUCAGCCCCCACCAGUUAUCUGAUAAAAAGAAAACACCAUUGACAUGGGAUUUUCAUGCAAGUUGUACCUGUAAUGAGCAUUGAAAAACUGCAAACACUGUGGCAUAGUCUACUUUGCUAUGACUUGCCACAACAAGUGUAUUCAUUUGGAUUAUCUAGUUUUUCUUUUUUACCCAAAUUUGAAAUUUUUCCAAGUCACAUUAUGUAGAGGAAACAGAUAAUGUUUCGGGUGGAUUAAAGACUGAAAGGCACACAAUGUUUUAGAAGACAUAUGGUGGGAAAAGACAGAUCCAUUA